CAAGUAGCGUGAAGGAUGACUGCCCNUAUGGGUUGUAAACUUCUUUUAUAAGGGAAUAAAGUGAGGGACGUGUCCCUUUUUGUAUGUACCUUAUGAAUAAGGAUCGGCUAACUCCGUGCCAGCAGCCGCGGUAAUACGGAGGAUCCAAGCGUUAUCCGGAUUUAUUGGGUUUAAAGGGAGCGUAGGUUGACAUAUAAGUCAGCUGUGAAAGUUUACGGCUCAACCGUGAAAUUGCAGUUGAUACUGUAUGUCUUGAGUGUACAAGAGGUGGGCGGAAUUCGUGGUGUAGCGGUGAAAUGCUUAGAUAUCACGAAGAACUCCAAUUGCGAAGGCAGCUCACUGGGGUACAACUGACACUGAGGCUCGAAAGUGUGGGUAUCAAACAGGAUUAGAUACCCUGGUAGUCCACACAGUAAACGAUGAAUACUCGCUGUUUGCGAUAUACAGUAAGCGGCCAAGCGAAAGCAUUAAGUAUUCCACCUGGGGAGUACGCCGGCAACGGUGAAACUCAAAGGAAUUGACGGGGGCCCGCACAAGCGGAGGAACAUGUGGUUUAAUUCGAUGAUACGCGAGGAACCUUACCCGGGCUUGAAUUGCAGAGGAAUAUAGUUGAAAGAUUAUAGCCGCAAGGUCUCUGUGAAGGUGCUGCAUGGUUGUCGUCAGCUCGUGCCGUGAGGUGUCGGCUUAAGUGCCAUAACGAGCGCAACCCUUAUCAUUAGUUACUAACAGGUCAUGCUGAGGACUCUAGUGAGACU
rnacentral:rRNA from 1 species